rnacentral:rRNA from 1 species
UACGUAGGCAGCGAGCGUUGUUCGGAGUUACUGGGCGUAAAGAGUGCGUAGGCGGUUUUCUAAGUUUGGUGUGAAAUCUCCCGGCUCAACUGGGAGGGUGCGCCGAAGACUGGAAGGCUAGAGUGUGGGAGAGGUAAGCGGAAUUCCUGGUGUAGCGGUGAAAUGCGUAGAUAUCAGGAGGAACACCGGUGGCGAAGGCGGCAUCCUGGACCGGUAUUGACGCUGAUGCGCGAAAGCCAGGGGAGCAAACGGG